rnacentral:snRNA from 1 species
ACACUUUCCAGCCGUUUGCUAAGAUCAAGUGCAUCAUCUUUUCUUACCACUUUAAUAUCUGAUACAUCCUCAGCUUGAAGCUUUUAUAUUAAAUGUAUUUGGCAAGCAUGUGAAGGAAUAAACAUUUCCUCCAUCCACUCCAUGCAUCGACCCGAAACUGCAGUGCUUCCAGGUACCAUGGCUACAUC